GUCUUAUCAGCCGGGGUUGUAUAUUUAUUUGUGUUAUCGGUGAUUUUCUAGUUUAAUGCUUUUCGAAAAAGAGAGGAGAUAAACCGAUGUACUGCAACUUUGGUCAAAUCAUUACUAACAAUUAUAAUUCUAAUAGGUUUGUAAUACUGUAAAAUCUCAGUCUCCGCCAUGAAGAUGGAAACAGAACUGAAGAUCUUAACGUUGAAUUGCUGGGGUAUUGUAGGAUUUAGUCGAGAUAGAACAAAGAGGAUGGCUGCAAUUGCAUCUCACCUUGCUGUGUCUGAUUAUGAUUUUGUAUUCCUUCAAGAAGUCUGGAGCCAAGAUGAUUAUCAAAUGAUUAGCAAGAAAGUUUCUGAAGUUCUACCACAUUCAUUUUAUUUUCACAG